UUCCCCUCUCAAUUCCCAACAGAAGAGAGAUCCCCAAUCCUCUGGAGCCAAUGAAUCGGGCGCAGCGCAGCAACCAGGUAUCUGCCUCCGCUCCGCCCGAACCCGAGCCCGAUCCGAGCCAACUUCAAGGUAUGCGCUCUCAGCAAACCAACUCCUACUCUACUACAGUACCCAAGAUAGCUACGAUUGGUAAGGUUAUUGGGAAUCAUCUACGAUCUGAAUCGGAGGCCAAAUUGUUUCUCUGCUUCAUUCAUUUUCGUGAAUUCUACCACCCCUCCCUGCGCUAAAAUGCAGUAAUGCCAAGGCCCGAUGAUCUCUCAGUUUGCUUACGCCCGAUUCAGUAGCCCCACACCGAUUCACAAACGCUCUCUAGUGAUCAUUCAGAAAUCUGGCGUAUUGCUUUUAGAGUACUAACUAUGGAGCAAAGCACAUGCACAAGACAAGGCUGAUAUUGAUGUUGAAUUCUCAAGGAUUACUGGCACAUGAGCUUAACUGGAAGCAAGCUGUUGGGCAGCAUUCAUGUUAAAGCAAAAACUUUAGAUCUGUCUUGUGUGGUAACGCAGGUUGAGAGAAGCAGCAUGCCAUCUUUUGGCAUGUGAGAGGCUCUGUAAGCAGCAGCACGGCAGCAGCAUGUCCAAAAAACAAAACCUGAGAGGAAGCAAUGCUUACUAGGUAUCGUUUUAUGUGGUGGCGUCUGUCGCGAUAUCAGUUGCAUUUUGGCUAUACUGCAAGUGACAAAGGGCCCAUUUGUUUUAACUCUUGAGUUGACGAUGGAGCAGCGCUAAAGAUGUUUGGGUCUGCUAACUUGGGUUGAUUUCUCGUUUGGCAUACACAGAUGCAUCCAGGGGGGUAUGGAUGCGUGUCCCAUGCUUUCAAGUUUUGGGGGAUGAUCUGAUGAGAUGUGAAGGCCUGACAAGCCAUCUGGUAUGGGUAUGGGCAUGGGUAUGGUUUACAAAGGGCCUCAUGCAGCCCAAAGGCCUCAGCAACCCCGGGUAAUGUCAGGUUCAAACAACAAACAGGAUUGGAAUAAUCUUGUGGGCUAGUUAAUGCGUGUUGCUGUCUUGUAGUUAAUCUGGGUUGGCGCAAGCCAAGGCAAAGAAGAAGGAACAUGGAGAUUAUAUUAUUGCAAGAGGAUGGCUGCAAUUGUGUUGGUUUAAUUUGUGACUGGAUGAAUUUGUCUGCGUGCUUGUUUGUUUGUUAAAUGAGUAAGAGAUUACAGUGGACAGCAAAAAGGGGAUGGAAAGAAGAAAAUAAACGAGCCCCUCAGUUUGGUUUAUGUAUGUUUUAUUGAAGGUCAACUGCAACUGCAGUGCAGAUGAUGCAUGGCAAUGGCAUGCAGGAUAAUAAGCUGAUAAGCAGGCAUGUUCAUCGAUGACCAUGAUGGAUCGGAGAUGGCUGUCCCCGCCUUACCCACUGAUUGAAAGAGUUGAGAGAGAUGAGAUGAGAUCUGUGUCCAAUCCAUCGCCAUUGCUGGAGCUGGAGGCCUCUGGAGGGGAUGAGGAUAAAGCAACCGUCCAGGUCCAGCACUCUUCUCUCCCUCCCUGAAGGGAAGUGACCCACCUAGAUCUCCCAUCCUCUCUCUCAAGCAACCUACUGAGCAUGGACCCUCUCGAGUCCGCCUAGGAGGUUGUUUGGAACUGACAGACUACCGCAAGGGAAGAGCCCUAGAUGAGGAGAAAGAAGGGCAGCACUUGUGUAAAUUGUUAGGAGCUGAUCUCUUAGCUUUCUUGAUGUCUUUUUGCAGAAAUCUCGUGAUGGAAUGUCUGACUGAUUCCACUGUGGGCAUUUGUACAUUGCUGGGCAUUCUCGUGGUAGGUGCCUUGACGCCCGAAACUAUGUAAACCAACUUUUAAACUUUUGAAUUUUGGCUGAGAGGGCCUUUGGCGAGGAAA